rnacentral:rRNA from 1 species
AACGUAGGUGGCAAGCGUUAUCCGGAAUUACUGGGCGUAAAGGGUGUGCAGGCGGGGUGGCAAGUGGUGUAUGAAAUAUCCCAGCUUAACUGGGAGGGGUUAUGCCAGACUGCUACUCUAGAGGACGAGAGAGGGGCGUGGAAUUCCGGGUGUAGUGGUGAAAUGCGUAGAGAUCCGGAGGAACCCCAGAGGCGAAGGCGACUACCUGGCCUGUUCUUGACGCUGAGGCGCGAAAGCUAGGGGAGCAAACGGG